GUUGGGAUCAGGGACCACCCCCUCACGGGGCAUAAGGUCAGUUUUCCCCCAGAGCCCGGGCCCCUGUCCCCCUACAGUGCAAGUGUGGUCCCUGGAGCCCCGGUGUGGAGUGGUGAGUCCCGGAGUAGUGCUUGUCUUGGAAAGAGGGGCCCUUGGCCAGCCACCCCUCAGCGACACUAUACAACUCCUGGAGCGCCUGCCAGGAUUGAAGCCAUGACCAGGUGCAGG
rnacentral:lncRNA from 1 species